rnacentral:rRNA from 1 species
GAUGAACGCUGGCGGCGUGCCUAAUACAUGCAAGUCGAGCGAACGGACGAGAAGCUUGCUUCUCUGAUGUUAGCGGCGGACGGGGGAGUAAAACGUGGAUAACCUACCUAUAAGACUGGGAUAACUUCGGGAAACCGGAGCUAAUACCGGAUGAUAUUUUGAACAGCAUGGUUCAAAAGUGAAAGACGGUCUUGCUGUCACUUAUAGAUGGAUCCGCGCUGCAUUAGCUAGUUGGUAAGGUAACGGCUUACCAAGGCAACGAUGCAUAGCCGACCUGAGAGGGUGAUCAGCCACACUGGAACUGAGACACGGUCCAGACUCCUACGGGAGGCAGCAGUAGGGAAUCUUCCGCAAUGGGCGAAAGCCUGACGGAGCAACGCCGCGUGAGUGAUGAAGGUCUUCGGAUCGUAAAACUCUGUUAUUAGGGAAGAACAGAUGUGUAAGUAACUGUGCACAUCUUGACGGUACCUAAUCAGAAAGCCACGGCUAACUACGUG